UACGUAGGGUGCGAACGUUGUCCGGAAUUAUUGGGCGUAAAGGGCUCGUAGGCGGUUUGUCGCGUCGGGAGUGAAAACCUACAGCUUAACUGUGGGCUUGCUUUCGAUACGGGCAGACUAGAGGUAUGCAGGGGAGAACGGAAUUCCUGGUGUAGCGGUGAAAUGCGCAGAUAUCAGGAGGAACACCGGUGGCGAAGGCGGUUCUCUGGGCAUGAUCUGACGCUGAGGAGCGAAAGUGUGGGGAGCGAACAGG
rnacentral:rRNA from 1 species